rnacentral:tRNA from 1 species
AGGCUUAUCUAGCUCAGCUGGUAGAGCAUUCGGCUUUUAACCUAAGGGUCGCAGGUUCACAUCUUUCUAGACCCA